rnacentral:siRNA from 1 species
UUGGUAGCCACAGAAAACUAAG